GAUGAACGCUAGCGGCAGGCCUAACACAUGCAAGUCGAGGGAUAAGCCUUCGGGCUGAAACCGGCGCACGGGUGCGUAACGCGUAUACAAUCUGCCUUUCACAUAGGGAUAGCCCGGAGAAAUUUGGAUUAAUACCUAAUGGUACAUAAGAGUGGCAUCAUUUUUAUAUUAAAGCUUUGGUGGUGAAAGAUGAGUAUGCGUUCUAUUAGCUAGUUGGAGAGGUAACGGCUCCCCAAGGCGACGAUAGAUAGGGGUUCUGAGAGGGAUGUCCCCCACACUGGUACUGAGAUACGGACCAGACUCCUACGGGAGGCAGCAGUGAGGAAUAUUGGACAAUGGUCGGAAGACUGAUCCAGCCAUGCCGCGUGCAGGACGACGGUCCUAUGGAUUGUAAACUGCUUUUGUAAGGGAAGAAUAAGGAGUACGUGUACUUUGAUGACGGUACCUUACGAAUAAGCAGCGGCUGACUCCGU
rnacentral:rRNA from 1 species